UUUUUUUUUUUUUUAGUUACACUCCAUUUUUUUCAUGUGCUUUUGUAGAAAAUAUAAAAGAGAUAGUGUUAUCAACAAUGAUCGAGGCAUUAUUAACAGUGCUAUUUAAGUUGUUUUUGCCAAAAACUUUUUGAAUUGUAUUCCAAAUAGCCAUGGUUAUGUCAUUAUCUUAUUAUGCUUCACAACCAUAAUAUUUUGAGUAAAUCUUACACUCAUUAUCCCAUAAUGUAUACACUAUCACAGUAAAAUAUAUGACACAUGAGCAAAAUUUAAAAUUUAUAUUUAUAUUUAGUUAUUGUCAGUGUAUAAAAGAUUAAUCAUAAUAUUUUUUGUAUAAAUUCGUAUAAUUUAGAUAUAAACUUGAAUUUGUUAACUUAUACAACAAAAUUGGUAUCAAAUUCAUGACUAUGCCAAAAUCAAAUAUAAUAAGAAUUACAUGAACCGAUUUGAAGUGAAACUCUAACUUCUGUGGUCCAAAUCCAAUAUGUAACUGUCUAUACUUUUUGUCCCUAGAGCACAAAGAUGAAACCAAGACAUCGUAAUGGAACUUGAACGAUUAACUAUUAUCAUCACUACUAUUUUUUUGCAAUGAUACCAAAUUCAGGUAAAUGAUCUUACAUCUAUUCAGGCAUGAGUUAAGACAUGGAAAUUUUUACUCUUCAUGCUUUCACUCUAAUCUUUUUUACCACCAUAUUAGCUCUCUUUACCCGUGCAUAUAUGUAUCCUGCUAUGAUCUCCACAAGGAAAAGCUAAGUAUACUUCAAUCUGCAAGAAAGAUACCUUUUGCAUGUUAAUAUUACAACAACAUAAAGUCAAGGUAGUUGGAAAUGGUCUCAUCCAUGAACCAUAUUAGCCGAAGAAAUGCUGCUAGACAAAUAUACCUAUUUUUAAAAUACUACAAAUGGUUGAACGAACACCUUCAUGAUGCAUCAUCUUAUGAUCCUGGCGUGUUUCAAAAUUUCCACAUGUUCAUUUUCAAGAAUGGUCAGUACUAUUAUUUUCAUUUGUUUUACAAUGGUCAAAUUUUAGAUCUCAGAAGCCAAUGAGACACGUAAUUAAAGUGUGGUAUAUUCAAUCCUUUUGCAUCCAAUUAACAUCUAUAUCAUCCCUGAAAAAGGAAACAGAAGUCAUGUACGUAAUUUUUAGAAGUUUUAUGGCGUGAUCAGAUGCCUCCUCAUUCAUUUAAUUGCUCAUGUCACGUUUAGUUCAGUUUAAUUGUUCAAGGCAUUCCAGGCACCAAACUUCAAAUCUCUGUGGAUCCUGAUCCGGUACUGAAGUUAAGGCUAAAAAUUCAUACUCCUAAUAAUGAGCUUGUGAAAAUUGUAAUUUAACCUCCUAGUGGCAACCACUAGCCUUGAAGGCUUAACAUGAUCUGCUUCAAUUUUUGAAAUUUCAAUGGAGAGUUGCACCAAGCUACUACUUCUUGAUUACCAAAAAAAAGGGAUAAUUUCAGAAACCUCAGGCGUGAUCAGAUGCCUCCUCAUUCAAUUAAUUGCUCAUGUCACAUUUAGUUCAGUUUAAUUGUUCAAGGCAUUCCAGGCACCAAACUUCAAAUCUCGGUGGAUCCUGAUCCGGUACUGAAGUUAAGGCUAAAAAUUCAUACUCCUAAUAAUGAGCUCGUGAAAAUUGUAAUUUAACCUCCUAUUGGCAAUCACUAGCCUUGAAGGCUUAACAUGAUCUGCUUUAAUUUUGAAAUUUCAAUGGAGAGUUGCACCAAGCUACUACUUCUUGAUUACCCACAAAAAAAAGGGAUAAUUUCAGAAACCUUCCCUGAGGUUUCUGACAAUUGCACAUAAGUACCCUCUAAUAUUAAAAAUUACACUGCCCUCCCCUUUCAUUCUGAUGUGACCAAUUGUCAACUUCAAUAGCAAUAAAGUGACAGAAAUACCCUCAUCAGUCUCUAAAAUAUUAGAAAUGUGGGAAAAAUAUAAGUCUUCCAAGUAAUAUUCUUGAUAUGCAAUUUGGCGCCAUUACACUUGGGAUAUAUAAUGCUUCUGGCGCCUUCUGAACAGUCUUACUACUUCUAAAGUGUAGAAGAAAUAGCUAUAGAGAAAGGACAAUAUCUAGUAGCAAAACUGGUAAAAAUCCUUCAUCUCAUGAAGGAUAAGCUAGAAUAGUGGCAUAUCUGCAACAUAUGAGCUUAAUAGAAAGUUGUUAAGGUUAUCACAAUUUUGUUGGAUUUAUUGUACCUAUUUUCAAGUAAUAGACACUAAUAGUGGAUGUUAAUGAUCUAUAUGCUUGUUAUAGUGGCAUAUAAUCUGUUAUUAAUAUUAUAAGAUGAAGAUAUGGCUGUGAGAUUGCUUCAAAAGUUAGGUAGUAGAAAGGGAUGAUGGUUUUAAGGUUAGAUCAUAUCUACGUUGAUGUUUUUUAUGCUAAAUCUGUGACUAAUAAUGCAUGCAUGUGGUGUAUUUGAUGGAUUUUUGAGCAACUGAUGUUCAUAUAGCUUAAUGAUUUAUAGAGGGAGAAUUGUAUUGCAAUGAGUUUUACUUGAUGAUCAAUAUGAUGUUUCUUGUUUUUUGUCUAAAAUAUAGAUGUUUGGUGACUCAAUAGAGUUUUAGUUAAAAGUAUUUGUUCAUCUCAUUUAGUAGAUAAAUGGCUUGUACUUGUUAUGUAGAGCUUGUUGAGUAAUAAAGGAUGGUAAUAGAAGAAUGAAAGACAAGUUGAGAUUGUUCUGGAAUAAUAAAGCUAUCUGAUGUGAGCAAAUGAAAAGAAAAAAUCUAUGAUGGAUUAUGGAGUUUUUUGUAUUUUGAAAGCUGCUCUUAGGUAUUAUUAUAUGACAAAGAAGAUUUAACUUCAUUAUUUAGAUUUUGAUGUUAGUAAGUAACAACUAUGAUAUUAAUGAUUAAUUUGGGUAAAACAGAAUGUCACAUGUGGUUGCACAUGACUUUGUAGUUCACUACAAUGGAAGAAGAAUCAGGAUUCCCAAUAUAGAUCCUGAUAGGUAUUUUUAUAUAGAACUGUUGAAUGAUAUUUGUGAGAAAACACUUCAUGAAUUACCUGAAAAUCUUAAUUAUUUGCUACAUAUGAGAUGUGGAAUUCCAAGAACUACUGCAACAAUGGACGUCAACACUGAUAAGGCAGUCUUGGAAAUAUUUAAGGUGUAUGAAAAUAAGCUGGUAAUCAAUUUGUUUGUGGACCACAUGGAUGUAAUUCCAUUUAAUAUGCCUGAGGUAAACAACAAUAACAACUUUUGUGCUGGGCAAGAGAAUCUAGGAAUUGAGGAUAUUGCUGAAAAUGCUGAACCUAAUUUACAAAAUAUUGAAAAGGAUGAUGAAGUGUUCAUUUCAAGUGAUGAUGAUUCUUGAUUAUAUGAAGCAAACAAUGACAAAGAGAACAACUUAAGCAAUGGCAGUGACGCACAUGAAUCAUCUGAUAUGAGUAAUAUUGCUUUCUCAGAUUAUGAGGACAAAUAUGAAGGUGAUGUCAUUUCGAAUUCUAAAUAUAAGGAUGAAAUUGAUCCAAAUAGGGCAGCUUUAAGAGCAAAAAUGUUCACCUAUAAUCUGAGAGAGGAUAUUGAAUUUGAGAAGGAUAUGUUAUUCACCAAUAUUGAUGCUUUUAGGGCUGCUUUGAAGGAUUAUGUAAUCCAGAAAGGUUUUCCCAUAGUAAAACUGAAAAAUGAAAAGAAAAGGUGUACUGCUAAGUGUGCUGUUGAAGGCUGUCCAUGCAAAAUCCAUGUUUCUCCUGUUGGUGAAACAACUACUUUUCAAAUUAAGUCUUACACACCUCAGCACACUUGUGUUAUGAACAAUAGGAAUACGGAGGCUACAUCUGAUUGGAUUGCAAAGAAACUGGUUCCACUUCUUUGGAUCCAUUCUCAAAUGAAUACAAAAAGUGUCUAUGCUGAGAUUGUAUCAAAAUAUGAUGUGCAUCCUAGCAAGAUGCAGAUUUGGAAGGCAAAGACAAGGGCACUAGAAGAGAUAUAAGGUACACACUAUGAGUCAUAUGCAAAAUUGCCUAAGUAUACUGAGAUUUUAAGGAAAAAUAACCCUCAAUGCAUCUACAAAAUACAUUUGAUAGGCCAAAUCUCUUGGUGGAAUGAAGAUUUUUGAGAAUUUUUAUUAGUUUCAAAGCACAAAAAGAUGGAUGUCUAAGAUAUUGCAAGCCAUUUGUUGGUUUUGAUGGUUGCCACCUCAAAAGACCAUAUGGAGGAAUGUUGCUUACUGCUGUGGCUUUGGAUGGGAAUAACAGCAUAUUCCCUCUUGCAAUUGCUGUGGCUGAAUGUGAAAAUAAAGAGACUUGGUCAUGGUUCUUUCAUUUCUUUGAAGAAUACUUUGGUCCAUUUGAUAACCAACUGCCUCUAACAUUUAUGAGUGAUAGACAAAAGGUACAUUUUGUUCUACUUACAAAUGUCCCAUUUCUAUUGUCAUAUAACUUAACUACCAAUCUUCUGUUUGUUCUAAUUAAAUUAUGUUAAAUGUAGGGUCUAAACUUAGCAUAUGAAGAACUGAUGCCAUACACUAAUGCAAGAUACUGCUGUAGGCAUAUUCAGAGCAACUUUAAACUGUCCUUUCCAGGGUUGCUGCUUAGUAAUUACUUCUGGCAGGCAGCUAAGAGCUUUGAUACAAUUGGUCAUGAAGAGGCAAUGGAGAAAAGAGAUAAACAUUGAAACUUGGAAAUACUUGACAAAGAUACCGCUAACAACUUGGGCAACACACUCAUUUUCUCCUAUUAUAAAAUGUGAUCAUGUGAUGAAUAACUUCACUAAAUCUUUUAAUGCAUGGGUUGGUGAUCUGAGGGGGUUGCCUAUUCUUACAUUGCUUGAAGGUUUAAGGAGAAAAUUCAUAAAGAAACUAUAGAAAAGAUUUCAUAAGAGCUGUACCUACACAGGUGUUGUGCCAAUUGUGGAGAAACUGAGAGAAAUUGCCAAUCAAUCUAGAAAAUGUGAGUUUUCUAUGGCUAGUGAGACACUAUUUGAAGUAAAGGAAUUUGGCAAGUCCUACAUAGCCAAUCUGCAGGAGAGAACUUGUGAAUGUGGAGCAUUUCAAAUUUCAGGAAUUCCAUACAAGCAUGCUGCUUUAGGAAUUAUAUACAAAAGAGAGAAUCUUGAGAAAUAUUGUGAUCCAAUAUUUACAAUUGAAGUGUACCAGAGGAUAUAUUUUGGAAUGAUAAAUCCAGCUUCUGAUGAGAGAAAUUGGCCUGAUAUGCUAAGGUGACCCCUGCUACACUAUUACUAGCCCCAUUAAGAAGAGCACCAGGUAGACCAAAAAAGAAUAGGAGGAGAGAAUCUGAUGAGGAUGCUCCUUCAACUCAAACAGGAAGGUCUAAAGCUUUUAGGUGCUCAUUGUGCCAAUCUUAUGGGCAUAAUAGGAGAACUUGUGAAAGAGCUCCAGUGAAAGCAAAGAAAGAAAGCAAUGCUUCUAGUAGUGGUUAUGCACAUUGUCUAUAUGACCUUUGUUCGUUAUUUGCUUUGGUUAAUAUGACAUUCUAACUAAUUUCAUGUUAUCAGGUUCGUCAAAGAAAAGGGAAACCAGGUAGAGGAUUGGCUAAUACAGGGUUAUCUGGGGUUGUACUUUGGGUACUACAAUAGUUGUUGGAUUCAAAAUUUAUUAUGGCAUUCAUUAUCAACUGUUACACUUUAUAUCUGAAUGCAGGAUCAUGUUUCUAGAAAGGUACCUGUUGUUUUCUCAAGUCAAGGUAGCAAUCUAAUUGUCCAAAUUAGGUAUGUCUUAUAUUCAUGUCCUUGUGCAAGGUAGAGCCACUGCAACUGCAAGACUGAAGGAUGGAGGAAGAGCUAACAAGAGCUUUUAGCAAGUUUGAACUAUCGGCAAUGAAACUGGAAGGGGUAGAUCUCUGCCCUGAGGACAUUUGCGAGGGGGUUCAAGACUGUAGGCAGAGUUUGGUAGGAAGACUGAUUGGUGAAAAGGUUGCAAAUUUCACGGGCAUAAAGAACUUUACUAAUCAUGCCUGGGGAUACCCCAGGAAUCUGACUGUGACUGAACUGGGUCCUAACAUUUUCCAGUUCCAGUUGGAGAAGGGAGAGGACCGUGAAAAAAUUCUGAUGGGAGGACCAUGGAUUAUGGAUAACCAGAUUCUUGUGAUGAAAGAAUGGAAGGCUGGGUGCGAAAAGAAGGAUCACAAUUUCCGAUUUGCUCACCUAUGGGUACAAAUCUGGAAUCUCCCAGUUCAUUGGUUGUGUAAGUCAGUGGGCUUUAAGGUAGGAAAGGUUUUUAAAUCUGUUAGGGAGGUUCUUGUUCCGCCAGGGGGAGGAAAUCUAGGAGACAUAUGAAGAUUAUGAUGGAAGUGGAUCUCCUACAACCUCUCCCAAGAGGAACUUUGGUUAAGCUUGAGGGAGUGAAUACAUGGGUGGAAUUUAGGUAUGAGAGAUGCCCAGAUUUUUGCUACAAUUGUGGGAUCAUUGGGCAUGGGGAUAAGUCUUGUACUGGGGACAAAAGGGAGGGUCAGACGUGCAGGGAAGAACAAUAUGGAGCGUGGAUGAGGGCAGGGAAUAUUAUGGUUUCCCCUCUGAAAGUGUGCUUAAUGACUGGUACAGAGGUGAUUAAGAAGUCCAGAGAUGUAGCAUUGGUAAGCAAGGGACCAAGUAAUAAAGCCGGGAUGAUAACUGAGACAGGUCCUGGGGUCGAGACUGGUACAAGCAGCAGGGAAAGUGACAAGGUAUAUAAAAAGAGUGACCAACAAAAGCUAGCAAUGGAGGAAAAAUGGGAUGAGAUUCUGAGGGAGAGUGUAGAGAUGAAAGGAAGCUGAGAGAAAGAGGACAAGGAGGAGUGUACACGAAAGGAGGGGGACAAAUUCAAAGGAAGAAACAAUACCGAGAGGCCUAAAGUGGUAGUGGACCUGGGAAAUGACUGGAACGGGAAAGAAAAUCAGCGCCCAGAAGAUAUGGUUUUAGAUGCAAGCAUUGACCGAGAGGAUAAAAAUAAAUACGAGAAGGGGGUAUUAACUAGCAAUGAGUCUGAAACAAAGGAAGCCAACUGCUGGACUCAGGAAAGCAGAUGUAAUCAAGGAAGGAAAAAGCAGUGGAGGAGGAGUUCACGUGUUACAAGAGUGCCGCUGAAAGACAUUACGGAUAGAGGGACAGUGAGUAACCUUGGUGAGAAAAGGACAACAACGAAAGAAUGGCAGGACCUGGACUUUAUGGAAGAGGACAUAACACAUAGUCCACAACACAAGCUAUUAAGAAGGGACCAGGAAGUCGAUCAGCAAGGAGGGGAAUUGGAGGCUAGCCCCGCAAUGCCUCCACCUAUACAAUGAAGGUUGCGGUGUGGAAUUGCCGAGGUGCAGGAGGCCCCUUGACAAUUUCCCAACUGAAGGAGGUAAUUCACCUCCACUCUCCUAGUGUGGUGUUCCUAUGUGAGACAAAAAACAAAGAAAGGUAUAUGAAACAGGUGCAAAAUAGAAUUAAGUUUGAACAUAGUUUUGUAGUGAAUCCUAAGGGUAGAGCAGGGGGACUAGCUUUGUUUUGGAAGGAGGGGGUACAAUUAUUGGAUAUACACAGCACUGAUUGGUAUAUUGCAGCAAGAGUGGAAGACAAGGAAACGAGUGAUUAUUGGUGGUUGGUUGGUAUAUACGCAAGUACAGAUUAGAGGGUGAGAGUGCAGCAAUGGGAGACAAUAGGGGAAAAAAGAGGGCAUGGGGUGAGAAAUGGGUAGCAAUGGGAGACUUUAACGACAUUUGCUCAAACGGGGAGAAAUGGGGGGAAAGAGAGGGAUCAGAAGGUAGUUUUAGGGAGUUCAAUAGCUUUAUUUCUGAUAAUGAGUUAGUGGACAUAGGGUGUAAGGGGGUGCCUUGGACAUGGAGUAACACAUGGGAAGGGGAGGGAGAAAUAAGAGAGAGACUAGAUCGAUGUUUAGGAAGUGUUGGGUGGGUACAAAAGUAUGAGAAUGCUGCUGUGGAACACAUUGAAAUAGAGGCUUCUGAUCACUGCCUGCUCCUAAUGGACACAAAAUCGAAGCAAAGGAGGGCCAAAAGAAGGUUUUUCUUUGACCAAAGAUGGGCAAGGGAUGAGGCAUCAAUAGCUGUUAUUAAAAGAGCUUGGGGACUGGAACAAAAUGGGUCUAGAAUGUUCAGAGUGGUGAAAAGGAUUAAGGAAUGUAGAAUUGCUCUGAUUGAAUGGAACAAGUCACUUAAAGGCAACACAAAGGCAAAAAUUCAGGAGCUGAAGGAGAAACUAAGGUCCGUCCGUGAGGAGAAUGAGCCAUGCAACAAAGGAGUUAUCACAACCUUAAAGCUACAACUAAGCAAAGCUUACAAGGAUGAAGAGUUGUUUUGGAGCCAGAAAUCAAGGAGCAGAUGGCUCAAAGAGGGGGACAAGAAUACAGCCUACUUUCACCUAAGUGUCAUGGCUGCUAGGAAACGGAACAAUAUCAGUAUACUCCAGAAGGCUAAUGGGGAGUGGUGUACGAGUGCAGAGGAAAUCAAAGCUGAGUUAAGCGAGCACUAUGCGGAGCUGUUCAACUCAAGUAAUCCAUCUGAAUUUGAAGAAGUGUUGCAAGGCAUACCGUGCACUAUUUCUAAUCUCGCGAACACACAGUUGAUCAAGCCAGUGACAGAAUUGGAGAUAAAACAAGCCAUAUUUUCCAUGUUCCCAAAUAAAGCCCCUGGAGUUGAUGGUAUGCCCCCUUUAUUUUUCCAAACAUACUGGCAUAUUAUCAAAAAUGAUAUUGUCAAUGCUGUCACAAGUUUUUUCCAUUCUGGUAAUAUCUUAACGGCUAUCAAUGAGACCAUUAUCUCCAUUAUCCCUAAGGUUGACAAUCCUGUUGUGCUUACUAAUUACAGGCCUAUAAGCCUUUGCACUGUCCUUUAUAAAACUAUUUCCAAGAUUUUGGCUAAUAGAUUGCAAAAAGUCCUAGUGCACUGUAUUAAUCCGUCUCAAUCUGCUUUUGUCCCUGGGCGUCAAAUUCUUGACAAUGCUAUCAUCGCUCAUGAAGUCUUGCAUUUCCUAAAAAGUAAGAGAGGUGGUAGAGUAGGCUUUAUGGCUUUAAAGCUUGAUAUGUCAAAAACCUAUGAUAGAGUGGAGUGGAAGUUUCUAGGCAGAAUUAUGUUACAUAUGGGCUUUUGUCCUACUUUUGUUCGCUGGAUCAUGACGUGUAUCUCCACUGUUUCUUAUUCUUUUAAUUUGAAUGGACAAAAUGUGGGUUAUAUCAAACCAUCUAGAGGUCUCCGUCAAGGGGAUCCCCUAUCCCCCUACUUGUUCAUUAUAUGUAUGGAAGGGCUGUCCAAUUUUAUCAAGAAAGGUGUGGAUUCUAAGCAACUAACGGGCAUCAAAGUCUGCAAAGACAGCCCUAUGAUCUCUCAUCUCUUUUUUGCAGACGAUUCUCUUUUGUGUUGCAAAGCAAGCAAGGAGGAGGCUAAGAAGGUAAAGGAGAUCAUUCAGACUUAUGGACAAGCCACAGGACAGGUAGUAAACUUUGGUAAAUCAGCCAUGUUCCUUACUAAAAAUACCUCCAACAGGAUUCGAGGAGAGAUUAGGGAGGUUUUGGGCAAUAUGAGGGCAGCCUCUAGUGGGAAAUAUUUAGGAUUACCUAUGACUAUUGGGAGAGCUAAGAAUCAGGUUUUUGGGUCCCUGAAAAGUACCAUCAUUAGCAAACUCCAAGGAUGGAAACAUAAAGUGCUUAGUCAAGGGGGUAAGGAGAUCCUAAUCAAAUCUGUCAUCAUGGCCAUGCCUACCUAUAUAAUGUCUUGUUUUAAGCUCCCUAAAGGCUUGUGCAAGGGUAUUAGUGCAACUAUUGCAGGUUCUGGUGGGGCGGGGAUGGUCUAGAGAACAAAGUGCAUUGGGUGAGGUGGAGUAAGCUUACUGAAGUUAAAGGGAAAGGGGGAUUGGGCUUUAGAGAUUUAGAAGCCUUCAAUGUUGCCUUGCUUGCAAAACAAAUUUGGAGAGUUGUUACAAAUCCGAAUUUGUUAGUAAGCAAGGUCCUGAAAGCUAAAUACAUGAAAAAGACUGACUGGCUUGUUCAAAAGCCCCCGAGCACAGCAUCUUGGUGCUGGAAAAGUUUACACAAGGGAGGUGAGCUGCUUCAGCAGGGCCUAUACAAGAGGGUAGGAGAUGGAAGGUCAAUUAAAAUCUGGGAAGACAGAUGGGUAGCUGGAUCGUGCAAUGGGAAAUUAACUACGGCAAAACCAGCAGGGUGUCAACUUGAGUGUGUCCAUGAACUAAUAGAGGAGGGGAGGUGGAAGACUGAUACUUUGCAUCGCUGGUUUAACAUAGAUGAUGUGGAACUCAUAACUAACAUCCCUCUAAGUCUAUAUGAAAGGAAAGACAGAUUGUAUUGGUUGCAUAGCAAGUCUGGUGUUUAUACAAUCAGAACAGGCUACGUUAUUGCCAAAGGGGGAAGGGAGACUGUGAACCACAGGAUAGCACCUGACUCUGAGACUAGCUGGGCAAUUAGGAAGCACACGGUGUGGAAAAGAUUGUGGGGCUUAAAUAUCAAAAUGAAGCUCAAGCAUUUUUUAUGGAGGUGUUUGCAAAAUGGGCUGGCUACUAGUGAAGCUCUCUACCAAAGAGUUGGGAAAGGAAGCAAUCUGUGCCAAUGUUGUGGUGAGGCUACGGAAACCAUUGAACAUGUAUUCUUUUUUUGUCCAACAGCUCAAAUAGCUUGGAGGCUAGCUCCGGUGAGUUGGGAAGGGAUAGUUGAGCUACAAUGCAACAUGUGGAGGUGGUGGGAUGUUAUGAUGGAAUCGGCAAAGGGGGCCCAAGGAAUGGACCGCAUCAAGCUCACAGUAAAUAUCCUUUGACAGCUCUGGAAGGCGAGAAACAAGAGAGUAUUCCAGCUGGAGAGUGAGGAUGCAAAAGUGAUAAUUGACAAAGCCCAGCAAGAGUGGAUCGAAUUUGAAGAGGCAACUGUUCCUCAACCCCGAGGAUUCGCAUCAACAGAGCAGGAAAGACUGAGUCAGCAUAAUUGGGAGCCACCAAAGGAGGGAGUAGUGAGAAUUAAUACGGAUGCAGCAAUCUCAGCAAAAAUGGUCAGGAUCGGAUUGGGAAUUGUUGCACGGAACUGGCGAGGAGAUCUAGUGAAAGUCCGAGGGAUUAGUAGAAGGAAAAAAGGGGAAGCUGCCACAGAGGAAUCAUUAGCAAUCCGAAGUGCGCUGGAAAUGGCUCAAGCUGCAGGAUGGACAAAGAUAGAAGUCCAGUCGGACUGCAGAAACGUUGUGAGCUCGAUCAAUGCGGGCAAUGUUCAGGAUUGUAAGUUACAAACAAUCCUAGAAGACAUUGAGGCCCUAAAGACUAGUUUUGACAGUUGUAUUUUCUCUUUUGUUCCCAGAAGUGCGAAUGGCUACAGUCAUGAAGUGGCUCAAUUUGCAACCAAGGUGGUUAAAACCAUUGAUUGGCAAGCUUCAUUUCCAACAUGGUUAACUGUUCUUGCUAGAAAAGAUAUGGGGGUAGUUACCCCUUUUUGUAAUUAACUCUUGUAUUUUCAAGUGUUAAUAUCUAUAUAAUGUUAUCGUUUGAUUAAAAAAAAAAAAUUCAUGUCCUUGUAAGUUGUAUACUGCUGUUAAUUUAUGGAGAUACCUAAAUGUUGGAUACAAUCAAGGGAAACACAAAUUCUGUAUUUGCUCGAGCUCAAUUGGGUACCGGAACUCCAUCUGCUACUGUUAAUGUACAAAUUCAAUUCCUAGCUAGCCCGAGUGGAACAAAGAAGGUAUAACUUUGUUCAUUUCAAUUUCAUUUGAUAGCCACAUACAUCUUUAUAUGCAUAUACAUGUCUCUGGUAUGAUAAGAGCACUUUAUGAUUUAUUUUUGUUAGAAAGGAAGGCCUACAAAAGCUAAAGCCAUAAGGACAAUAAACACUAUUGAGAAAAAGACUGGUGGUACCCCCAUUCAUUCACGCAUGCCUUCUAGAGAAAAUGCCCCUGUAGAAAGCAACAAUGGAGCUUCUCAGACAUCCAGAACUGUUACCAUAGAAGCUAAUGCAACUACUAACUCUGUCAAUGUUAGUAGCUCCUUCAGCAUGUGGUUUUAAUGGCUGAUCACUACAUAUCUAAUUAGUAAUUUAAAUAGUAUUUUACUAAGCAAAUACUAAGCCUGCAUUCAGUGGUAGUGGUCUGAAUCUUUUGUACAUCAAAUCUCAUGAUGGAACUGAUACCAUAUAGUCACCUAGUCACCUAAGCUUAGCAAUCCUUACCAUUCGGACAACUAGUCUGAGAUGAUGUUUUGUGUUCAAUGGAUUGCUUGGCAAACUCAAAUCUGUAACUGAAAGUAAGGUGCUACAAUUGCAACAUUUACAAUCCUAACCAUCUUCAAAGCCUAUUAAGAUUUUUUUUUUUGCCUUGGAUUGCUCAUUAUGGGUAUUCAAUCAACUUGAUAUUUAAGAUAUUUAAGACUUGUUUUAGUUUAUUUUGUUUAUAGUGCUUUGUACCACUUGCAUAUGCAAUUGUAUAAGUGGUUUUGGAAAUUUUUUUUUAUUUUGAAGCAUGGUAGAUAAACUUCUAUUAAAUAUUGUAGAUGAAUUUAAAUCCACCAUAUCUUGACCUUGUGGUUCUACCACUAUAUAAUUACCAAGGCUCAAGUUUUGGUGGUACAGUCUUACAAUUUUAUCCAAUUUUUCUUCCUUUUUUUGUUGCCAUUUUUCUUGCCCAAAAAUUUUAACUCAUUUUCUUGUAGGAUCAAUGGGAGUAAACUUGGAAAAUAAUUGUUUGACAAGACUAAUUCAUUAUUUUUAAAUUUACUUUUUACGACAUGGACUUAAUUUGUUACCAAAUAUGUCAAUCAAGGGGUGGGUAGUGUAAUUUUUGAUAUUAGAACGUAUUUAUGUCUGAAAUUAUCCAAAAAAAAAAAAAGAACUACUACUUCUUUAAUGUUGGAUAAUCCCCCAAUCUUCUCUAUAUUGUCUUAACCUAAUCAAGUCUAAGAUUUUUUUUUCGAAUCCCAAUAAUUAUGUACCAACUAUCACCUCCUGGUUUCCUAAUGUUUUUUUUUCGGGACACGAUAGACCUAUACUUACUUUAUACUAGGGGGAGGGAGGACCUUUUUUUCGGACACGAUAGACCUACACUUACUCUAUAAUAGGGGGAAGAGGACCUAAAGAGAUCUAAGAUAGACUUACAAUUACACUUACUCUAUACUAGUUUCCUAAUGUAAGGGGAACAGAUUUGAAUAACUUAAAGGCUCUAUAAUGUAGAAUAUCAUAAGCGCAGAGGUUCAAGGCGGAGUCAACCGGGGGAAGGGUUGCCGCCAAUCCAUAAGUUUUUAAAUUUUUAGGAUUAAUUACAUUUACUUCCCUAGAAGUUUGACCAAAUUAUCAAAUGGACCCCUUGAUUUGGCCAAACUAUAGGGCGCCCCCAAAAAAUCAUAAAUUGUUAACUACUACACCCCUCCCGUUAGUCCUCUGACGUUGACCACCUGAAAUUCAACAAAGACUGUAGUAACUUUACGUGAAGGUCCUAAAAUACCCUCGAAGCACUAUUACCUUUUUCUUCUUCUUCUUUUUUUUCCGCCACCCUUAUUUCUUCCUUAUUCCCCGGAAACACCAACUGUAGCCUUGCUAAAGCAGAAUCUCCAACUCUACAUGCCAAUCUGUCAUGGAUGUUUCAAGAUACCUAGUCAUGUAGGUAGUGAUCUUUCUUUUAUUCAAACUACCAAAAUCCAAAGAAAAAUUGUCAAGGCCACCUCAUUCAUAUUCAUUAAUAUCUCUUAGAUCAAACUUUUUUUUUAGGAGUCUUAAAUCUAACUUCAAACACUAAAAUCAAAAGAAAACACUUUUUGAGAUGUCAACAGCAAUAAUAUUUUGGUCACAGCAUCUUAAUCUUAUAACACGGUAACCAAGACCAAAAUUAAUAACAAAUAAGAAAAGAAGAUUCAAAAAAAAUCUGCACCAUUAGCAGCAAAUUCAUGCCACACUCCAAAAAGAACAUGAAAGAAAAACUAUUUUGUCAUGUCAAGAACCAAAUCUAAGUUGUAGAUUCAAUUGAUAAAACAAUACGUUCAAUAGAAAAGGAAAGAUAAUACGAAAGAAAAGAGAAUUGAUUGAAGAAGAGGAAAGAAAGAUUUGGUCCAUUUGGAAGAUGAAUAUCAGCGCGGAGAUUUGUUCUUAUCCCAUUUUGUUCCACGUUUGUGUUUUAUUUUCCAACUUUUUGUACUGGGUCAAUUUUGUCAUUUUAGUAAUAUAUGUUAGUUGGGUUUACAGAAGGUUACUGACGGAGGACUUUUGUAGUUUGACCAAACGAUGGGAAUCAUAUGGUAAUUUGGCUAAACCUCAAGGGUGAUAAAUGUAAUUAAGCUAAAUUUUUAUUUAACGACUAUUAAAUUCUAAUUUUUUUUUUUAAAAAAAAGUCCUCUUCUUGACCCCCGAAAAUUUUUGAUAUCAUGUAACAUAUUUUCUCCAUUUUCCUAAUUUUAUGUUUUAUAAAGUUUUAACUUAUUUCUUUUUAAGACUGGAAAAGUAUUGGUGUUCAAUAUGGACAAGGUGCCCCUUUCCCCACCCCUUUCAUAAAUUACUUGCUCCGCCACUAAAAUUCCAUAUCAAGGUUAACGCUGUUUGGAUAAUUACUCAUUUUGAACGAGCAUCAUCUCAUCCAAGACUGGUGAAUUUCAUCUUCUGGAAUUUAACUAUACAUGUAGGCAAACGUUUGUGACAGCAUGAUUUUCAACUUUCUUUAUCCAAACAAAAUGGGCAUGUGUGUGGUUGGUUUUUUGUCAGUCCAACAAGGAAAAUUCGAAGCAAUAUGUUCUGUCACCAGGCCGACCACGUUUCUAAGAAUUGGUCUUUUUUCCCUGUUCCACCAUUAGCUUUCAAGACUUAAUCGGCAAGCAAAAUUAAAAGGCAAUUUCAAUCAAAAACUAAAAGGACUACUGAGGUACAACCCAAUACAUGAAAGAUUUUGCAUGUUGAAGGUUUACCUAAUAUCCAUCAAAGGCUAGUACAAUCCAUUGUACUUGCUCUAUCUGAAUUUGAUUUCUAUAACAAGAAGAGUUUCCAGACUAGCUAUACUUGGAAUUUCUUGUUCUUUCCUUUUGUACAUUCUUUGGCAAUUGGCAUGCAAGAGUGAGUAUAGCAUCUUUCAAACACAUAAAAUCAGCAAAUUACUGUUUUCCAAUAGUAAAAAACAAAGAAAAGAAUCUGCCGAAAACCUAAUACACCAAUUAGCAGAUCAUCAAAAUAAAUUUUCUUGCUUUUCAUGUUUAAUCAUCAAUAAGCUGUUAACUUUUCUCUAUUGCCCCAUUUCUAAAACACUUUUCUUUGUUUCCGGGGGAGGAUGAUUGGUAAAUUAUGUUUUGACCCUCAAACUAUGCACUUUAUAUCACUUCAGUCCCUAAAUUUUAAAAUGGAACACUUAAGUCCCUAAAUUAUUAAAUCCAUCCCAAUUAAGUAAAAUCGUUGAUAGAAUCCACAAAAUCAUCAGUCUUCUUGAGGUGUGCAAACAUACGCCAUUAAACGAGACUAGGUUUCAAAUUCUACCAAAAUGAUGAGGGCAUAAAUCUAAUUUCAUUGCAAAAUAAAUAGAAAACAAAUGGAAAAACAUUUUGGGCUCUUUGGUUUAGGGGUUCGAUUUGUAAAUCACGGAGAAAGACAAUGGAGAGAAGGACAAGAAAAACUCAGAAAUUUUUGGCUAAUACUAGCAAAAAUCGAUUGAGAUCUUCAGACGGUGAAGAUUGCAACAAUGGCAAGAAAGAGAUGGCAUUCAAGAGAAAAGCCAUCUCCAGCAAAGCUAAAGAAAUCGAAAAUGAAGACUGAAAUUGGUAAUCAAAAUAAAUUUUUUGCCUUUUCAUGUAGGUUAAUUUAAUAGCAUAAUCCAUACAUGAAUUAGAAAAAACUAUUAAUUUGUAAUGAAAUAUGUCUCCAUCGCCAUAGGGAUUAGUGAAAAGUUAGGGUUUUAUAUGGUAUUGAAAUUUGUCUCCUUUAAUAUGCUUUGUACGGUCAUGGAAAAGAUCUAUUGCAUAAUUUACUCGAAGAAUCUAUAGUCCUUGUUUUCAAGAUAUAGUGAUUUAUGGCAUAAUCUAUCUCCCUAAUGCUCCUUGUGUUGAUGACAUUGUGAUACCUUUUUAGAAAUUAUUGAAUUUUUUAAAAUAUUUUCUGAUUAAAAAACUUAUUUGCUUAAAAUCAGAGAGCGGGCAACAUGGUAUUUGGCAUGAACCAUUUACUUUGGAGAUGAACCAUCAGGGGGAGUUUACAAGAUUGCCAAACACAGAAUACGUAGCAGGAAGGGUUGACCCCAUUGAUGAGUGUAAUCCUGAAAAAUGGUCACUUCAAAUGCUUGAUAAAUGUGGAGAAAAACUUGGAUACCCAAAAGAUGUAGGUUUUGGGUGGUACGGUAGACUGCCGGGAUUACCACUCGAUCAAGGACUAUUUUUUGGCUUAUGUGAUGGGGACUGUGAAUUACUUGUUAAUACCUUAUAGGUGCUGAGCUGUAUCUCGCAGUUGGAGCCUUGGAGGUAGAGCUAAGUAGCUAACAGGGUGAGGUUCCAUGCUAAGAAUAUGUAGAAUAACGCCAUGCAUGAAAGUCAGACAACUCCUUCAAAAGAGGCUGGGAAAGAUAAAGGUGCAGCUAGUUGCGAUAGUGAUGUUAUUAUAAUAAAAGAGAGUGAGAGUGAUGACGAGGGAGUAAACAUGAAUCCACAAAAGUGAGAUGCUCAAGAGGGGCUUUUUGAUGUAGCUAACUCGGAAUCCUUGAAAGUAGACAUUGAAAAUGAAACUGAUGUGGGAGUAGGCAUUCCAAAUAUCAUCAAUGAAGCCACAAUAAAUGCUGAUGACACAAAUGACUUUGACAUGGUAGCAAAGAAAGCUGAGUGCAGUAAAGCUGAUGAAGUGAACUAGAGAAGGCCAAUAUGGCGGAUACUGGUGACCAUGGAACAGCGACAACCCAGUGAAGAAACAACUAUACCUUCAACCUCCUUAUUUUCCUUUGCCACAGCCUUGAGUUUUCUUGCAACCUCCCAUUCUCAACUUCUAUUUUGUUUUUUGUUCUUAACAUUCCAGGGAUUAGACCCUUGAACUUUUGACAUAUUUCAAGAUCAAUGAUCAAUCCAAUUCUAGUAUCUACAUCCUCCCGAUUCCUACAUUAACAACACCAUUAAGAGAAUAAAGACAAGUUUAGCUAGGUGCGUUGCAUACAAACUGGAAACAUGGGAAAGUACAAAUAGAAAUACCUAAUGGAAAUUACCAUUGACGAGACCUUCUUCCUGGGUUUAAGUCACUGGCAGAGCCAGAAAAAAUUCUCAGUGGGGGCAAAAGCAACUCUAAAAUUUUUUACCUAAUUUUUUUCUAGUUUUUUAAGCAAAAAUAAUAAUAUUCACUAACAAGUACAAAUGAUGCAUAUAUUUCAUGAAAAAUAUAAAAAGACAAACUAUUAUUAAUGUAAUAAUAAUUUUAUUUCAAAAAGCAAACUAAACCAUUUACAAUUGCUCACGACGAGUUUUCAUAUUUUGAUAACGGUUUACAACCUUCUCAUUUUGAAUUUCACGAAAUAUAUUUUUUUCAAUGUAAGCAACUAAACAAUCAGUAAUCCAAGUGUCUCCCAUUCAAUUUCGUAACUGAUUCUUUACUAUAUUCAUAACUGAAAAAGUCCUUUCUAUGGUAGCUCUAACAACACACAAAAUCAAAGCGAACUUUAGAUGCAUAUAAACCAAUGGAUACACAAAAUUUCAUGAGGCACACUUGAGAUUAUAUCAAAAUUCUAUGGAUACUAUAGAAAUUUAAGAGAGGCAGUGAGGGCCUGUGCCCCCACCGUAGUUCUGCCCCUGGUUUAAGUCUAUCCAUGAUGUUCAUCAAUGGUUGUUUUUCACAAUUACAUUUGUUCCUAAUCAUCUCUCCUUUUUCUUCUUUUUUAUCUUCAGAUUUCUAGCCUUUUUUUUCUUCUUAGUUCUUUCCCCUCAUUUGGAGAUGCAGCCAAUUGGUCUCUAUUUGUCUAGGACACAUCGAUACCCUUUUAUGAACUGGAUCGGAUCAAGAAUAUGACCCGUAUGUGGUGAAUAAAAGGAGGGAAAUCCCUCCUUUGUGCUAAAUAAUUUCCUUUUUAUUUUUUUAAUAUAUUUUUAUGAAUUCCUAUACUUGCCCUCAUUCAAUGGCGCAUGUUUACAUACCCCAAGAAGACUGAAGAUUUUGGGAUUUUGUCAAUGAUUUUCCUUAAUUGCGAUAGAUUUGAUAGUUGAGAGAUUGAAGUAUCUCAUUUUGAAGUUUAGAGAUUAAAGCAGGAUACGUGCAUAGUUUGAGAGGUCAAAAUGGAAUAUACCCCAGGAUUAUUUGAUAUAAUUAGAGAUGUUGACCAAAUUAUACAAUUUUUAUCUCAACAUCUCAUUCUUAGUUUUGUUUAAAUUAUUCUUGUCAAGCCUAUGAAGUUAGUUUUAAUUUGUCUUAGAAUCUAUUACAGCACUUAUUACUUUUUCUAGACAAUGAGUAAUGACUAAGUACUUUGAGAUAUCAAAUUGUACGUGAUUAAUGACCCACCAAUUUGAUAUUGUGAUAUUUAAGUAGAAGUUAAUAAAUACUCCCUCCGUCCCACUUUGAUAGUUGGUUGUUUUUUCACACAGUUUAAGAAAAAACAGUUAACUUUGUUAGAACAAUCAAUUUAGGUAGCUAUUUUCCUAAAAUACCCUCACAUUAAUUAGAGUAUAACUUUAUGGAAACUUGAUUUGAUGGUAAAAAAAAAUGAACUCUCAUUAAAUGGGGUAGGUUUAUAGUAACAACAACUUACAUUGAAUAAGGGUAUUUUAGGAAAAUUAAAAUACAACUAUAUUCUUCAAUUGGAAAUUGGACUAUAAUUUGGGACAAACGAAAAAGGAAAACAUGACUAUUAAAGUGGGACGGAAGGAGUACAUGCUACGUCGACAAUAUUGUGGCUCAAUCUUUUUUGAGAGUCGCAAAACUAAAUUGUGAGAAUAGGGUUGAUUUUUUCUUAAUUGAAUUAAUCUUUUCUAUACUAUAAUAAUAAUGUAAACACUUUUUACACUAUUAUGAGUACAUGCAUAUCCCAUGUGUGAAGACAGAUUUUUAAAUUGCAAGAAAAGUGAAGUACCAAUUAAAACGUUACUCUAGAAAAACUUGCACUAACAACAUUACAAAGAUUAUCCCUUUUAUUAAUAUUUCAAGGCAAAAGAGGAAGGUGACUUUAUCCCUUGCAGUUCUCACAACAAUAUGGAUAAUAAAGUAAAGAUAAUUCGUUGAGGAUGCAUCAUUUUAGAGCAAAAUGGACCUCUUAAAGCAGUGGCAACUAGUGAAUGACAGCCUGUAAAAGAAGUUUCUUAAAACAACAAAUGUUGACGCGUAAUCUCUCGUUGGAAUAUUGGCCUCUCAACCAAUCUUGUCUCUGUGUCUCUUAUAUAUCAAACCAAUAGGGACAUUAGAAACAGUCUAAUCUGCAGGACACAUUCCGUGUGAAUUUAGAUACCUUAGUGAACUGUGUCGGCGUAUCUCAUGUAAUGUUUUGCCCCACUUUUCCUGAAAAUUCACAGCAAAGUCUAGAAAAGAGAUUAAAGUCCACAGCUCCAAGGAUGAUGGCUGCUCUCCGCGUUUUAAGAUAAUCCUUUUAGGACGGUGAAAUAGGUUCUUUCUGAUAUGUAUCUGCAGGCCAGGUGCAAGUCCCCAGAUUCUAUUGACAUUGUAGCCGUGAAUCUCAAUUGCAGGACCCCCUUAAUUUAGAACAGAUAUCUAUUUUUUCUUACCAGCUUAAUUUUGAAACAAUUCAUGUUUUAAGUACUGACUUAGCUAUAAUGAUUUUAGACAAACUUAUCCCGAGAAUUGCAACUUUUGCUGAUGUUGAAUAAACUUACUCUAAGGAAUAAACUUACUCUAAGGAAGACCGAUAUAUUAUGUCAAAGUUUAUCUUGUAAAAAGUGCUUUGCCAAACUUUAGUAUCAUUAGUAAUAUUUCACGUGAUUUGCACGUGAUUAUAUUAUCUUAAAAUAUAAUUUUUUUUAGAUGUUAUUAACAACCAUCAUACUUUAGCAAUAAUAUCACAUGGGUCUACUAAAUUAUUUAUUAUUUUACAUUUAUUAUUUGUAUCCAAUUUAGUCCAGUAAAUCAUCUGAUCAUGUAUUAUACCAAUAGAUUAGAUGAUUUGCGACAUUUAUCUACCCUUUUUCACUUUUUCUUUUUCUUUCACUCUUAUAGAUACUUUCAAGUUACUAGCCAGUUGACUUUCCCUACUUAAUUUCUCUGAAGCAAAUUGAGCACAAUAAUAACUUUUUUGUCUUAAGAUCACCUUUUCCCUAGUAUAUAUUUUAAUAUUUUUGAUGAUCUUGGAAAUGGAAUUGUGGAUAUAUAAUCGAGAAUUUUUUUUAUUAACAGAUAAAUUGGGAGUAAAACGAAAAUGGAUAGGUUUAGAUAAAAGUGCAUUAUUAUCUUAUUUGUCACCAUAAUUUAGAUUUGAUGCUUCAUUUUUGUAACCACUGCCAUUAUUGUCUAUUAUUGAAAUGCAAUGACUUUAAUUAUUGGAGGGUAGAGUAUUUUGGGCAUCACUAAAAACUAAGGCCAGAUUUUGCAACACUUUAAUCUAAGACUGAUGAUACUUUUGGUAUCAAAAUAUCUGUAUCUAUAUCUAUGUAUUUCUAUUCCAUUCAGGUGAUGUUAAUGUUCUCUUUUAUGACAUCUAAAUUGAAUUUUCCAAUGUUUUUUGGGGUAAUAUUUAUCAUUCUUUAUGUCACAUAUGAUUUUUUAGUUUUUGUCUGUUUUUUAGUUUCUUUUUUUUUUAACUAUUAAUAUUGAUACAAUUAUGACACUAGGUGCAACAUGUCCGAAAUUCUUCUCAUUCUUCUAAAUUGGAUGUGUACAACUUAUUAUUUCAUCUAUUUGCUCAAUGUUUCUCAAUUCAAUUUUUUCCUUUAUAAAUCAAUUUGGUAUGAUAUAAUACGGUGAAUUUAAUCAUCAACUAAUAUUCUAUCUUGCCAUCAACCAUUAUUUUCUAUAAUGAAUUUUAAUCAUCAUAAAUCAUAAGAACAUAAUAUGAAACGCUAAUCAUCAAUUAAUAAGAAUAUAAUUGAAAUGACAAAAACUAAGUUGACAAAAAUGCUUAUACUCAAAGGUACCAAGACUCAUAGUACUUUUUAUAAUAGUAAUGAUAAUUAUGUAUAGCGGGAUCUUUGAAACAAAAACUUAGUGAUUCAUAAUUGAUUUUGAAGACCUGAGGAGGAAAUUCGUUGUUUAACUGCCCAUUCUUGAAUUUUUAAUUGGUUAGCAUACGUAAUUAAGAACAUUUCUGUUCAGUUUUAGUUUAGCUCAAGUACGAAGAAUUUUGCCAUAACUGUUGGAAAAAUGUACGUCGGAUGACCAAGAAGAAGUGACAAGAUUGAGAAAGGCAAGAGACCUCACUGUGACCUUAGAGCAAGAAAUUUGAGCAGUUCAAUCGCAUGUUUGCUCGGAGAUGCUGGGGAUUAUCUUGAAUUUGAUGAGUCGCAGACCAUUCUUAGAUUACCCAAUUCUCUCGAGUUGAUGAUUGUUUCAAAGUGAAUAUUUUACUUAUCUUUGUGGUCUGCUUUCAAAUAAUGGUCACUUUCCCUAAACGAAAAUUGUAGAUUAUAAAAACACACCUUGUAGUGCCAAUGAGUUAAGUGGAGGAGCUCAAUACCUCACCAGCAAUUAUCAUAGUAUUAGUUAACAUAAGUUGGUUCGAUUGGUAAGAAUGAAUUACUUUCUCACAAAAGAUAGUAUAUUCAAAUCCCAUUACCGAUAUAAGAUUCCGAGAACAUGUCCUAACUCAUGGUAGCAACCGAAAUCAAACCCACUCAGACAUUUUCAUAUUAAAAUAUAUAUAUAUAUAUAUAUAUAUAUAUAUAUAUAUAUAUAUAUAUAUAUAUAUAUAUAUAUCGUAGCCUUAGGGUUUUGAAAUGUUUUUGGUAGAUUGCACUUUUACUCAUUAUGUGAUAAGUUUUGUGCACCACAAGUUUGAUUACAUGUUUUAGUCAUAUAAAUCAAUUCUUGUGCUGCUAACUUGAAGGCGAAAAUACAGAAUUGGUCUACAUCCCUUGCCUGAUAAUAGCUCCAUAAAGGAUCACGCCAUCAUACGGUCCUGUCCAUAAAGGCCCAAAACUGCUAUACCAAAAUCACGUUUUCUAAGGGCCCUGCGCCUCCUCUUUUCGAAUCUUUAUUUGAGAGCUACUACAACCCGCCCUUAAUUUACAACAAUCUAGCCCCAGAACCAGAAGGCACCCAAAAAAAAAAAAGUGAAUCCAGAGCAGAAUUUAUGUAGUGAUUUGUAAAUUGAACAUUUUGGUAUUUUAUCCUCUAAGUACAUAAUUUGGUAGCCUCAAUCGCACAACCAAUUGAAGACACAAUUAAUACUGUGGUAUUUACGUGUCACAAUUAGUCUAGCAAUUAUAUAGACUGCCACUCUUAUUUGCAUAUCACAAGGGGGUCACAAAGACAAACUGCUUUUCUUGCAGUGUUACCAUGAAUUUCUUUUUCUUUUUUUUUAAGUUUCUUUUGAUUUCAUCAUCUCAGAUAUAGAUGUUUGACAUAUACACAGAAUCAGGGAAGAUAGGGAAGAUUUAGAUAUUUCAUCAAUCAAGUUUUAUGCACAGAUAAGACUGCUUUAUCAUAUUUACAUAAUUUAGCUGAGAGACACGGCAACAUUUAACAAGAUGAAUCAGCUAAGCCAUAGCAACGAUCCAGAUGGAUAUUCGCCCCCUCAAUUUAUGCAGUUGGGUAGGAAGAAUCCAUAGCAAUUCCACAAAGGCCUUCUUUAGCAGCAAUGCCCCGUUUCAUCUUUAUAUAUCCACUCUCACCCCAGCUUGUUCCCCAUGAGUUCUUGACCAACCAAUACUUUGUACCAUUAGAAGUUUUCCCGUAUCCAACUGCAGUAACACCAUGGUCUAGAUCCGUUCCACAAUCUCCGGUGAAAACUCCACUGGAGUAGAAUUGGAAUGCCAUCCCACUCGCAUCGAUGGAAACAGAAACUGGUUGGUUUGCCACAGCUUUCAACAAUGCUGCUUCGCUGUUGACAGGCACCUUUUCAUAACCAGCGAUCUUGGCUGCGUGGGAAGCUUCUUUAGUUUUGCUGCAAGUUCCAUCAGCUGCCGUGUAUGGGUAAGUGGUUUCAGUGGCAAUGCCUUUGUUUUUCACGAUGAAUUCGAAGGCAUCUUCCAUGUAGCCACCACUGCAGCCCUGAUCUUGACUUGUUCUGUCGCAGUCCACUAUUUCUUGCUCAGAGAGUGAAAUCAACUUACCGGUACUCAGUUUUGUAAUCCCUUCAGUCGCUGCAAUUGCUGAAAAUGCCCAGCAACUUCCUGCAAAUCAGAAGCAAAUUACAAAUAUAUAUAUAUAUAUAUGAGAAAACCAUGCCCUUUUCAGAUUUGCUGCUAUCAUUUAUUAAUUGAGAAUGUGAUAGUAAUGUAAAGAUUAUAGAGUGGCUUAAAUUUAAUUACCACAUUGUCCUUGAUCCUUAAUUGGAGUGACUGCACCUUUGGUCCUCCAGUCCACGGUAGCAGGCACAGCAGUCACAUUUUCAUACUUGAAUGAUAUACUCCCGAACAGCCUUGGGGAGGAGGACAUCUUCAAUCCAUUAUGAGAGGCAACAAACUCCUCGUUGGUAAGGUCUGCGAAUCGAUUGAUUCCAAGAUUGUAAGGCCUGUUUCCAGCCCUGUUAAAAGAUUCAAUGAACUCCACAUUGUCCUUGAAUAUCUUGAAACGCCUUUCUUUCUCUGCACUGUCCUCGUAUACGCGUCCGUGGAGGCUCAUCCACUGCUCAUGUCUCUCUACCAUGGCCUCAUCAUUCAGGUUACGUGCUGCACCUUGGAUUGCUAGCAAUCCCAAAAGGAAAAAGAAACCGAUGACUGCUUUCAUUUUGUUUUAUUGGUUGUGUGGCUUGAAAUUUGAAAAUGUUGCUUGGCCUGUUGGUGCUUUGGUCCAUUGCAGAGCUAGGACUAUAUAGAGAGUGCAGAAGGUGCUUAUGGUCAUUGAUGCUCCUCCAAAAUUGAAGUUUCAAUGUAAUAGUGUGAGCAGAAGAGUUCAAGUUCUCAGUUUGCCGGGCAAACUAUGCUGUGGUGACUGGUGAAUUGGACAACCUUAUUGAAUAGCUUACGGAGAUGGUAACUAUUUGACAAUGAUAAGUACUUGAAAUUGUAGUUCAGUACUACUAUGAGGCCUAAAUUGCACAUAACCCCCUUAGGGUUGGAGGUGGCAUGCACAUAGUCCCAACAAAUUUUUAUUUAUCAUCAAUUUUCCCCAAAGACUAAUAGUUAAAGUUUACUACUAUUGUUUUUUUUUUUAAAUUUAAUAAUGUGACAUAAUGAUCUUUAUAUCCUUAAAAUAUAAGCACCUAAUUAAUUUGCCUCUCUAUGUUUUUGUUUUGUUUUUCCUUUCUUUCCUCGUAGUCUCGUGACAUUUGUUGUAGUUAAUUUAUUUCUUAGUUGCUUAUAUAAUAAAACAUACUUUAUUAGUAACUAACUGGGGAGGGGAUGGGUUGGGUGGUAAGGUGAGAGGGAAUAUAAGUAGAAUCUCCUAAAUUCAAAACCUCCCACUUAUCAAAAAAAUUUUAACUGGUUUAAAUGUAUAUAUACAAACAGGUUAGAUCGUAUAAUAAAUUAAUUGUUAAUAGUUAAGGUUAUUAAAUUAAGAAAUUAUGUCAAGAAUCAAUAUAAUUCAAAUCUAUUCCAAGCAUAUACAACUAAUAAUUACAAAGAGAGAAGAUUGCUUUCAAAAAAAUUACAAAGAUGAGGUCGUGGUGGUAUGACUAUAGGAUGGAAAAGAAUUUGGGAAAAAAAAAUUCAGGAGACAAAUUAAUAGUCAUUUACAUUAUUGUCAUGGAGUAAUUAAGCUUUACUAUUGGAUAGCUAAUAAAAUACUAUUAUCAUUUACUUGUGUUCUCCACUUUAAAAAUCGAGUGGACAAGAAAGUUGACACCAGGCAAAAUAAAUCAGUUGGGUUGUAUCCCAAUUGACUAGGGCCAAGAUGCGGAGCUCGAUUCCAAUCUUAAAAUUUGUUCUAGUAUUGUGUGCGGGUUGCUGUUUUUCACUAUUUGAGUGGAUUAUUCAUUUAUUUGCAAUGUUAGACAGUUGUACUACAUAUGUAAUUAUCCUUGGAUGUACUUAAUGUUACAAUUAUGGGUUUUGAUUGUAAUCUUGUACUCCUAUAGCCAAAAAAAAAAAAAAAUUGUUAAAAUAAACCUAAAACUAGCAAGUGCAAUUUACUCUACUUUAAGAUGCAAUUGGAUGAAAUCAUAAGGGACUCACUAAUUUUAUGACGGUUUUUACACUUAGAGCGCAUUUGAUAAAAUUGAAAUUUAAAAUCUAAUUCUAUUAAGUUAUUAAAUUAUUAAGUACUGAAUUUAUAACAUUUGAAUGUAUUCUGCAUUAAGUGAUAAGGUGUUAGUUUAUCACUUAUUAUUUUGAUUAAGUUUUGCCUAAACAAUAUUUCAGAAUCAUUUAAUUAAUUAAGAUAUCAUAUUUUUUAUUAUUAAUCACGUUUGAAUAUAUAAAAAUCUAAAUCUAUUAAGUUUAAGUGCUAAAUUGAUUUAUAAACAGGCCAUCAUGGUACAUAAAUUUUAGAAGUUUCAGCCAGCACUAGUUAAAAGAUGUUUACUUGAGACGAGAAAGCUCAAAACCCUGCUUCUAAACAGUGUUGACUAGAUGCUAAAACUGCUAAAACUGCAUUAGAAGUUGAUGCUAAAACUGCUCUAGACUUGCUUAAAUCGGCAGAUACCUCAACUCAUGAGUAUGCUUCAAUUAUCUCUGAUUGCAGGUUCCUGAUCUCUGCCCUGCCGAAAGUCAUACUUAGACAUGCUUAUCGAGAAGCAAACCAGUGUGCUGACAGAUUGGCAAAACUGGGUGCUCAACAAGAUGUUAAUUUUGUAUGCUAUGAAAGUAUUCCUUAUGCUUUGAGAAGUCUAGUAGAUGCAGAUCUUAAGGGAAUUUGUUUCCCUCGUUUUGUACCUAUAACUUAAGUUUGUUUUAAUAUAUAGUCCCUUUUAUUAAAAAAAAAAAAAAAAAAAAAACAGUGUUGACUAGCACUUGUAAGACAUUAGCAUGACUCUGGAGUAACAUUGUUGUGGAACCAGUCAACAUCUACGAACCGCUAGUAGCUAUAUUUUCGAAGUCACCAUAGCACGAUUUGCCCGGGCAAACCGACAUAUUAACUAAAUCUUGACUGAUUCUCAUGUUACAUGCAUGGAAAACACUUUUUACAUGAGACAGCGAAUUCAUCUUCUGCUCUGCAUAUAUACAUAGCUCUAGGACGGCCUCUAGAACACCAGUAGCUGAAGCAACAUUAAGAUUGAUUAUUCACAAUGGGAACAGCCAUUGGUUUAUUGUUUAUUUUGGGAUUGCUGACAACUCAAAGUUCAGCACGCACGCUAAACGAAGAGGCAAUGAUGGAGAGAUAUGAACAAUGGAUGAGGCUCCAUGGACGCGUAUACAAGGACGAUGCAGAGAAGGAAAGGCGUUUCCAGAUAUUCAAGAACAAUGUAGAGUUCAUUGAAGGUUUUAAUAGAGGUGGCAAAUCAACCCAUUUAAUUAAAUUACCCAUACCCGCCCAUGAAUAGAUGGGUAUGGGUAUCUUAAAUUUUUGUAUAUGGGUAUAAAUGGGUUACCCAAUAAUACGCAUUUAAUAAAUGGGUAUUAUUGGGUAACCCAUCAAACCCAAUUAACCCAUUUAGAACUCUCUUCCCCCCAAGUCUCUUCUUUUCCCCCACCCAUUUUUUUUUCAAAUUUUUCAUUUUGUCAUGAUGUUAACUACUUUUGUUUCAUUAUUAUUAUUAUUAUUAUUAUUAUUAUUAUUUGUUGGUUUUAUCUUAUUAUUUUAUUUUCUCUUAGUUUGUUAACUUGCUCAUUAAUUUAUGAUAAAAUUUAGCCUAUUUUCUUAUCUUUCUAAAAUGAAAUUUUAAAUUUAUAUAUGAAAAAAAUGUUAGGAGUUCAAAAUUUUUGGAUUAAAUUUUUAUAUUAAUUUUUAUAGUACUUAGUUCAAAUUGUUAUAUUCUUAUUAUUCAAUUAUUAAAUAAUAGGUAAUUUUGUGACAUAGAGUAUAAAUGAAAAAAAAUUGGUAAUUAAGUUUAUUGAACAUUAUAAAUAAAUAUUUAAAACUAAUGAUGGGUACAAAGAGUGGUAUAAAUUGAUAACUUAGUUUGCAAAAAUGAAUUUAAAUGAGUUUACAAAAAGUUAAAAUAAAUGGGUUAUAAAUGGAUAAUUGGGUUACCCAAUUCAUUUUUUGAUUUACCCAUUUAUACCCAUCUAAUUAAAUGAGUAUAAAUGAGUUGACUCACUUAUACCCAUUACCCAUUUUACCCAACCCAAACCCGCCCAAGUCACCCAUUUUGACACAUCUAGGUUUUAACAAGGCUGGAAACAAGCCUUACAAGCUCGGCAUCAAUCAAUUUGCAGACCUUACCAAUGAGGAGUUUGUUGCUACUCAUAAUGGACUGAAGAGACCCUUUUCACCAAAGUUGCUCACAAGUACAUCUUUCAAGUAUGAAAAUGUGACCCCAGUGCCAGCUACCAUCGACUGGAGGAAGAAAGGUGCGGUCACACCGAUUAAGGAUCAGGGACAAUGCGGUAAAAAUUUAAGCCCCCUCUGGUUGUAUGAACAAAGUAAUUAUUUAUCUGGGGUUUUAAUUUUAACACCAAUCGGUUUGUGAGGAAAGGUAUACUUAGUUUUUCAUAUACAUAUAUAUAUAUAUAUUUGCUUCUGAUUCGCAGGGAGUUUGCAGGGCAUUUUCGGCAGUUGCAACAACUGAGGGGAUUACAAAACUGAGUAACGGGAAGUUGAUAUCACUGUCUGAGCAAGAACUAGUGGAUUGCGACAGAACAAGUGAAGAUCAGGGCUGCAACGGCGGCCUCAUGGAAGGUGCCUUUAAAUUCAUUGUGAAAAACAAGUGCAUUGAACAACGAAACCACUUACCCUACACGGCAGCUGAUGGAAAUUGCAACAGAACUAAAGAAGCUUAUCACACAGCCAUGAUCAGUGGUUAAGAAUUGGUGCCCGUCAACAGCGAAGCAGCAUUGCUGAAAGCUGUGGCUAAUCAGCCAGUUUCAGUUGCCAUUGAUGCUGGUGGGAGGGCUUUCCAAUUCCACAGCAGCGGAGUCUUCACUGGAGACUGUGGAACUGAUCUAGACCAUGGUGUUACUGCCGUUGGGUAUGGAACUACUAAUGGCACAAAAUACUGGCUGGUAAAGAACUCAUGGGGCACAAGCUGGGGUGAGAGUGGAUACACAAGGAUGCAACGGGGCAUUGCCAUGGUUCAAAGUCGCGGUUGUGGUUGUGGUCGCGGCCUGGACCGUUCCACAUCGGUCUCGGCAUAUCGGUCGCGGUUUCGACGUGACGCGAAUUUUUGAAAUAUUUAAUAUUUUAAAAAUUGUAAAAAAUAUGAUAAACAAAAAUAAUUAAAAAUUUAGUAAAAAUAAUAAAAAUUCGAGUUGACUCGGAUGACUCGGAAUGAUUCGAUGUGACUCUGCCGUUUCAACCCUACACGGUGACGUUUCGACGAGUUGAGUAUCUCGGUAUCGUUUCGUCACGGUAUCGUAUCGGCAAAGGCUGAGACGGUGACGACUGGCCGAGUCUUCGAACCAUGGGCAUUGCUGCAAAAGAACGCCUCUGUGGAAUUGCCAUGGAUUCUUCCUACCCAACUCCUUAAGGGAGGGGCGAAUCAUGAUCUUUAUAACUCGAGUGGCUGAGCUGAUUCUGUUCGUUAGAUGCUGGCUCGUCUCUGCUCAAAGUAAAUGUCGUAAAGAAGUCAGUGUGUACAUAAACUUCAAGAAUGGAAGUUCUUGUACCCGAUAUCUUCCUCAAUGGUAGUUGUAUACAUUUAAAAACCUUGAUAAAGCAUUAUGUGCUCAAUUUGACCAUCUGCAAGAAUCCUCAAUAUCAUUUUCAACUUGAUAUCAAACUUAAAUUGAUGUAUUAACUCUUAUAGUAGAAUACCCUUAAAGCCAAAACAAUGAUUGAAAAUCAACGAGUAACAAAUACAAAUUAAACGCCCCUUCCUCAAGUCGAAACAAGUAUUAUUUAACUCGGUACAUGCGUUGAUGCAUGCAGCCUGGUUAAGCAGUAAGCAGAGACUAUUUAACAGUUUCAUGAUUGUUUCUUGGUUUCCAUCGAGUCCUUUUUCCAUCCAGGAUAACUUCAUUUGCUGAGGACAAAAAAUGAUAUCAUUGGUGCAUUCUCUGAACCAGUUGGUACCUUUCCACAGGACUUAGAACAUGUUAUACUUCUUGAACAACCCUCGAGAGAGUUAACAUCUAUACUGAGAAGGAUAGUUGGGAAAGAACGAUGAGACUGGUAAUUAUAAACCCAAAAAAAAUAAGUGUAUUCAAUCAUGGACAGUAAAAAAGACCUCAAUUGACAGCUCAUCAGCAAUCUUCUGCGGAAAAAUCAAAUCAGAACAAAAGUAUAAAGAAGAGAGAAAAGGGAAGGGAGCCUAUAAUUCCAAAUUUUUUUAAAAAAAAAUGAGCUUUACUUUAUAAUCUUAUCAGUUAUCAGCCGCAGAAAGUAUUAAUUCAUACAGGACUUCGAUCUUCUUGUUUAUAUUUCUACGUUGGGUCAUUAGUCAUCUGCAUUGAGCUUUGUUGUUAUAGGAGCAAUACCCAAUGUAGGUUGGAUAGAAUUCUUGAGAUAUCUUUCAUUUCAUCCUAAUUAGAAAAAGAAAAAAGAAAAAUUGUAGCUUUUUGACUGAUGAGGAAUCAAAUCAUCAUCAGAUAAAGGUACAAAUUAAGAAGUCAAAUAAAGGGUACUUGCAAAUCUUGCAAGUUGAUUAUAGCUUAUAGUUCGAGGUACAUAUUUAGUGCACAACUAGGCGAGCGUAGAUAUAAGGCAGAUAGCGCUAGCCCCUCUAAUUUCUUUGAUUUAUUGAAGAAGGAUUUGAAUAAUUUUGUUAUACAUUAUAAUGCAAUUCAGGCAAAAAAAAAAGAAAAAAGAAAAAAAAACCCUGUGAGGCUUAUUCUAAUUACUCAUUAUUAACUUUUUCAGUAAUCACAUCUAAUUAAUAGUGUUCUCUAAUGUCCUCUGCUACCACAUAAUAGAGUGUGUUUGCAAAAUAUGGAAUUUUAGUUCUGAAAUUUGCAUCUAAAAGAAUUUAUUAACGGGAGCAAUUAUAAUUAAAGAACAACUGAAAAAUAAAAGCAGCUACAAAUGCUUAUGGGAAAGGUAACUCUAAUUGCAAAUUAAGUUAAAUUAAGAUGGGAGGCCUUUGUAACAAACAUAACAUUGAGCAAUGAUCAGCUAAUUUUCUCUAGUUCAACGUGCCAUUGCAUCUCACAAAACUCAGAAAUUUUUUGAAUCCACCAAUCACUAUUUUAAAUGCAAAAAAUGGUUAUUGUUAGUCUCACUGUUGUCGAGUGAAAUGAAAUUCACAAAAGUUUACAGCCAAGAAAUCAAAACUUUGACAUAUUUAGUGGUCGUGACUUUUAAAUAUUUACUAAAGAUAAGAUAAUAAGUUCAAAUACGUAUUAAUCAAAGGUCAAAAAGAAUGUAGGAAAUGAGAUAGACAACUUAGUUAAAGGACGUUAGCUAAAGACAGGAGAGAACUCAGAAUACUCCACCUGAAAAUGUCCUGAUUAUUGUAAACGUUUUCAGGAACAUCGGCCUUCCAUCAAACAUUGUUGAACCAGCCACCGUCUACGUACGGUACCUACCUAAGUUGUACAAGCCACCAUUGCAGAGCUUGCCCGGCAAACUGGGAAUUUGGAUCUCUUCUGAUUAGAAUAUUGCAUGGAAAAAGCAAUGUUGAAGGAGCAUAAUGUAGCCCAUCCAUCUUCUGCUCUCUAUAUAUAACAAGCUCUGUAAGGAACCUAGCACCAAUCACUAAAGCACAUAUUCAAGAAACCAACACUUGUACAACGACUUCAUCUUUGAAAAUGAAAACGGUGAUUGCUUUUUUGUUCCUUUUGGGAUUGUUGGCAAUUCAAUCUGCAGCACUACGCACACUAAAGGAUGAGGCUAUGGUAGAGAGACAUGAGCAGUGGAUGAGUCUCCAUGGCCGUGUAUACAACGAUGAUGCAGAGAAGGAAAGGCGAUUCCAGAUAUUCAAGAACAAUGUAGAGUUCAUCGAAGCUUUUAACAAGGCUGGAAAGCUGCCUUACAAGCUUGGUGUCAAUCAAUUUGCAGACCUUACCAAUGAGGAAUUCAAAGCCUCGCGUAAUGGAUUUAAAGCUUCCUCCUCGCUUAAGUUGAUCAGAGGUGCAUCUUUCAAGUAUGAAAAUGUGACUGCUGUGCCUGCCACCAUGGACUGGAGGAAAAAAGGUGCAGUCACUCCAAUUAAGGAUCAAGGACAAUGUGGUAAGACGGCUACGCAAUGUAUACAAAUGGACUAGUACUAGCAUUCUUAAAUAAUUGCAGAAUUAGUGAUCAUUUGAAAGUGAUAAGAUUUCUCAUACACUGAUUCACAGGAAGUUGCUGGGCAUUCUCAGCAAUUGCAGCCACUGAAGGAAUUACCAAACUCAGUACAGGAAAGUUGAUAUCACUCUCUGAGCAAGAAAUAGUGGAUUGUGACAGAACAAGUCAAGAUCAGGGAUGCAAUGGUGGAGAAAUGGAAGAUGCCUUUGCAUUCAUAGUGAAAAACAAAGGAAUUGCCUCUGAAGCAACUUACCCCUACACAGCAGCUGAUGGAACUUGCAGCAAAACUAAAGAAGCUGCUCAUGCAGCCAAAAUCGAAGGUUAUGAAAAGGUACCUGCCAACAAUGAGGCAGCAUUAUUGAAAGCGGUGGCUAAUCAACCAGUUUCAGUUGCCAUCGAUGCAAGUGGCAUGGCUUUCCAAUUCUAUACAAGUGGAGUUUUUACUGGAGACUGUGGAACUGAUCUCGACCAUGGUGUUACUGCUGUAGGAUAUGGCAAGGCGUCUAAUGGUACCAAAUAUUGGCUGGUAAAGAACUCAUGGGGCACAAGCUGGGGUGAGAGUGGAUACAUAAGGAUGCAACGUGGCAUUUCUGCCAAAGAAGGCCUCUGUGGCAUUGCUAUGGAUUCUUCCUAUCCAACUGCUUAAGUAUGGGGUGAAUCUCACUCUUGAUUAUUCCAGUGGCUUAACUAAUUCCACUUGUUUAGUAUUGGUUUGUCAAUGUUACUCCUUUUAAAUCAUGUAAUUUUAGUAAAGCAGUCCUAUGUAUACUAUGUAUAUAAACUUCAUAAAUGAAAGAGCCAGCUCUGUUACUAUUUGUCAGAAUUUUCCACAAGCUUUUAAAUCUGAUACCAAAUUGGUCUUGAUAGUGUGAAUUUGUAAUCUACAAGUAUUGUAGCUAUAAGAGCAAAAGUAUUGAACAAGAACAGCAUAUAUCUUUCCGCAAGAAGUCCAAAAUAUUCUGCUUUUUGGUUUUUUCCUUUUCUUGUAGAGCUUGAAUUUGAAUCUUGCAAGAGCAACACUUGAUGUGUUAAGUUAGAAUUCGUAACUGCCUCUUCAAUCCCAAUUAAGAACCACAUUGCAGCAUUUUUCUUGACUUAGCAAUCGAAUAAGAUUAAUAAUGCAAGAUAGAAACUGAUGCUUUCGAAAUCCCCAUCUCACGAUUCUCACCCAACAUUUUUAACUUAAUGCAUUUGAUUACCUAUCUCUUGCAGCUUGAUUUACUGAUCUUUAUAUUCAGCAUAUCUUCCUUCAUUUAAAUUUGGGUGAAUUACUAAUAACCCCCUAUAGUUUCACCUAUUGUUACAUGACCUCCCUAACAUUUUAAUAUAUCUACUUCACCCCGCUAUGGUUUCAUAUAAACUAAAAAUGUAACGAAAAAAUAACCUAUAUAACGUUGUUAGUUGAAAUACCAGUAGUGUCCUUACUUAAAUGAUAAAUCAAAUGACUUAACCACCUUUACAAAAUCAUAAGAGAUUACGUGGGUAAAUACAAAAAAGUAAUAGGAGCAAAGUAGAUAUUUAUACAAAUUAUAGGGGGUUAAGUGGACAAUAUGAUUUCAUGACACGCACUUUUGGAGAGUAAGUGGUUUAAUCGUUGUGACUAAUUAUGCAUUCCAUUCAUUUUCUACUUUAUAUAAAAUUAUAGGAGAUUAUAUGACUAUUUUAAAACUUUAGAAAGGUCAUCUGACAUUAUGCAUAAUUACAAGAGGUCUAUAUAAUUUACCCUUUAAAUUUUGAUAGAAAUUCAAGUUUGUUUAAUCUCUUCGACACUAGCUACCUUACAACCCAUACUAAAUCCUCAAACCCAAAAGAGGGAUGAACAUUUUGUGCCAAAAAAUUAUUCAAGAAAACAUAAGGUUCCAUUAUUUGCUACUAACAAAUAGGAAGAGAAUAAUUGUUUGUAAAACCAAAUACAAGUUUAAUCUUCCUAAUCAGAAAAACAUAAAUUUAUCAAGACACAAACAAGUUUUUAAAAUCUUUAAACAAAGAAAUUACUUGAAACAACAUUAUAAGAUCGAAACUUGAGAGACGAAAUAGAAGGUUAGAUGUGAUUCCCAUAUCUAAAUCAAUCAUGCUCUAAAGGCAGCAGAACUUAUGCAUUUAGUUAGCGGACAUUCAGAAGGGAUAAUACGAGAAACUCUCUUGAGGUUUCUUUUAAUAUCAUUUAGAAAAUUUUAAAAUGUCACUUACCACCCAUACUUUCAUUAUUUGUGUAACAAAAUUUUUUAACAAAAAUCCUAAACUGCCCUUUUCUCCUAAACCACUUUGUUUACUUCAAGAAAAACUAUUAACUAAAAAACAAACUCUAAUAGUACCAUUACAUUUUAAAGUUAUAGUCCAUAAAAAUACAAAUUUAGAAAAUAAAAAAUAUUUGUAAAGAAAUACGUCAACACCAAUUCAACUCUAUAAAUUUAAAAUCGAUUUCUUAUGAACCCUUUUUUCCCCGGCCUCCUCUCAACUGUUGGUCCAAGCCUUUAAGUUGUAUUAAAUCAUUAUAAAGAUCAACUCAAAAUAAAUAAAGAAAACAUACAACAUUUUAUCAUAAUCACAAAAAAGAAAAAGAUAACCAUAAUUCAAUUUACCAUAAUUUACAACUAAAAAAAUGCAUAGUCAUAUAAAAAAAUGAGUAAAAGAGAGUGUUGGAGAAAUGGGAAAAAGAAGAAAGUGACUUUUGUUUCUUUUUCUUUAAUUUUUUAAGCUCCAUUUAUUUAUUUAAUAUGUGAAUUAUGUAUCAAGUGAGGGUUAAUAUAGUCAUUUUGCAAUUACAAGGGGAGAAAAGUGAUAUUUUUAAAAUCUUAGGGUGCUAAGUGAUAUUAAGAAAAACCUCAAGGGAGGUUUCUAAUAUUAUCCCUAUUGAGAAUCCUGAUUUUUGAAUUUUAAGCGCGUGAGUAUGCAUACGGUUUCAACCACUUUAGGUAAUGGGAGUUUGAUAGUUUCUGAAAGCGCGAUUUUGCUAUGUCAAUCAUGUAUGCGCCUUCAACAGCAGGAAACAUACAAGCUGGCGCGAUUUGAACAGCAAUUCCUCCAAGGCGUGCUUGUCUUGGCAAUAUAUAUAACGCCUUUAUAUUAGCCCAUAAAGAAGCUGUUUUGUUCUAUCACCCAUCUCUGAAUCUGGCACUUGGAAGAGUUUAUUAGUGACUACUUACCUAGCUUCGGUGGUUGGCUGUAGCAGAAAUGUUUGCAUGUAGAAACUCAAGUUGGCAAGGACCGAUGAGGCUCCGUUUGUUUGACAAGAAAGUCGUGCAAGGAAGUGCAUGCGAGAAAAGUGAGGUGAAGUGAUGUAAAAAAAAAAAAAGGAAACUAAAUUUCCUGUAUGUGUUUGAUAGACAAGAAAAUAGUGUAAAGAAAUUUGAGUUAUUGUAUAUAAAUUUGAAUGUUACAGGAAAAUUGUUUACAUUUCUUGGAUAGAUGCUAUCGAAGUACUAGUACAUUGGUUAGAAACUAACGCAUUGAAAUAUAAAAAUACAUUCAUUUGCUAAAAGAUUACCUAAGAGGAGCAUAAAAUAUGUAAUAACGUAUUUAAUUGCAUAAUUAUUUCAAAAAUAAAUAAAUAAAAACUAACAUGAAAAUAAAGUUGAAUGCAUAUACUUUUAUGCUAUUACAUCUAAGUAAUUUAUUCAAACACUAUCUAAGAGUAAAGGUCUAAGCAUUGAUUCGAGCGCUUGACACAUGGAAAAAAAGAUAUUGAAACAUUCAUGCUUUAUAGGUAAAAAAAUUAGCCAAAAUGGAAACUCAAAUAAACAGAAUCAGAGGUUUGACUUCUGUUCAGAAAAGAAGAAUUAGAAGGCGUAGAUAUGAUACGAGCGCUUAGAGUCCUAGACUAAAGUUGCUCUGUUUGCACCUGUAAGUAGCAAAGUUAUAUCCAAAAGAAACUUCUAAAGAAAUUGGUUAAGAGUAGGCGAAUAACUACUCAUGAGUCAUGACUAUUUUCUUAACUCAAUUGCAUAAAUUUACUUCCACAUUCAACUGGUGAAAUGCACAAUACACAACAAAGCUCAACCUCUGUAACUUUGGCCGUAAGGGGACAAAAUUACUCAUUCCUUGGAGCAGUGCAGUAAAAGAACAGGCAUUGCUAAGAACUCUGC
rnacentral:lncRNA from 1 species